rnacentral:lncRNA from 1 species
AUGCCUGCCACACCAGGAGCUGUCCUCCUGUGGACGCCGUGCCACAAGCCCGCUCUGGGGCCCGCCUGCCUCCCUGCUCCUCCGGGCUGCAUCCACAGGGGUGAGCACGUGCCCCAGCCCGCGCUGGAGAGGAACCGGGGCCCUAAAGGUGACACAUGGAACAGGGAAAGUCAGACCUGCGCUCCCAGCACCCCCGCACCGCCGCCUCCACGCACUGAUGGCCGCAGCGGGCAGGAGACAGCCCGACACCCGCAGCCACCCGAAGGCCCACGCUCGCCUCACCAGGGCCCCCCAGAUAUUCGACUCCAGGCGGCCUCGGCCCUCACCCACUGCCGCCAAGCGAAAACGCCGGUCCCGCUCGCCGCCGUGCUGCUCCCCGCCGCUGCGCAUGCGCUGCCCGCUGCGGAAGGAGCGUGGCCGCAGCGGCGGCCUGGCGCUCGAGCACCACGCGUGCGCUGGCCGCGGACCGAGCGGGAGGGGGGGAAGCAGGAGCAAGGCGAGACCUGGAACGGCGCCUUCGCAUGCUCGCGGCACGGCACUGCAGCCAGGCGGCUCACGCGUGCCAACCGCAGCCCGCCGCAGCAGCCAGGGGCUGCCACCCAGCAGCGAGUGCCCCGAGACUGCUCUGCCUGUGCCCGAGAGAGUGGCAGGGAUCAGCAAUCAGGCCCUGGUGCUGCACCGGUGAAAGGGCACCGCGGAGCAGCUCUGAGAAGGCACUGCCCGUCCCUGCGACACCAGGAAGCACCGAUAAGGAAAAGCACUCUGCGCUACCAGCCUGUGAGCACCAGGAAGGGGCGACGAGCACGGCCCAUUCGCUUACCCAUUACCAAAACACUGGAGAGUAGCGGCGAACACGGUGACCGGCAGCACACGUGCGCACCAGCUAGCUGCGGUAUUCUUUGUACACAGGGGAGGGCAGUCGUGGCUGCAGUACUGGCAUGUCGACACGCGAAGGCAGCAGUGAGCCCGGGAAAACCAGUGCACAUGCGCGCAUUUACAGCUGUAGUACCGCUUUCUCGGUCCUCAAAGGCAGCAGUGACCACAGCAGAGCACCGUGCGCACGCGCGUCCUCGUUGGGCGCAGUACUGGUUUUCGACACCCCGGCGUGGGCAGCGAGCACUGAGGAAGCCAUGCGCGUCUGCACGCCCAUUCUCUGCUGCACUGCUUUGGUGA